UAAAAGGUUUUUAAAAAACCCCCCCUUUUAAGGGGGGUUUUUAAAAUUUUAAAAAAUUUUUUGGGGAAAAUUUUUUGGUUUCUGGGGGGGGGGGGGGGGCUUUUGCUCCCCCCCCCCCG